GGUUGAUCCUGCCAGUAGUCAUAUGCUUGUCUCAAAGAUUAAGCCAUGCAUUGUCUCAGUACUUGCUUUAUCAAGGCGAAACCGCGAAUGGCUCAUUAAAUCAGUUAUGGUUCACUAGAUCGUAUUCAUUACAUGGAUAACUGUGGUAAUUCUAGAGCUAAUACAUGCACUCAGCUCGGCUGCCUUGUGCAGCGAGCGCAGUUAUUAGAACAAAACCAAUCCGGCCUCGGUCGGUAAACUUGGUGACUCUGAAUAACCGAAGCGGAGCGCUAAGGUCUCGUACCGGCGCCAG
rnacentral:rRNA from 1 species